UACGAAGGGGGCUAGCGUUGCUCGGAAUUACUGGGCGUAAAGCGCACGUAGGCGGAUUGUUAAGUCGGGGGUGAAAUCCUGGAGCUCAACUCCAGAACUGCCUUCGAAACUGGCGAUCUUGAGUCCGGGAGAGGUGAGUGGAACUGCGAGUGUAGAGGUGAAAUUCGUAGAUAUUCGCAAGAACACCAGUGGCGAAGGCGGCUCACUGGCCCGAUACUGACGCUGAGGCACGAAAGCGUGGGGAGCAAACAGGG
rnacentral:rRNA from 1 species